UACGUAGGGUGCAAGCGUUAAUCGGAAUUACUGGGCGUAAAGCGUGCGCAGGCGGUUAUGUAAGACAGAUGUGAAAUGCCCGGGCUUAACCUGGGAACUGCAUUUGUGACUGCAUGGCUAGAGUUUGGCAGAGGGGGGUAGAAUUCCACGUGUAGCAGUGAAAUGCGUAGAUAUGCGGAGGAACACCGAUGGCGAAGGCAAUCCCCUGGACCUGUACUGACGCUCAUGCACGAAAGCGUGGGGAGCAAACAGG
rnacentral:rRNA from 1 species